GAUGAAGAACGCAGUGAAAUGCGAUAAGUAAUGUGAAUUGCAGAAUUCAGUGAAUCAUCGAAUCUUUGAACGCACAUUGCGCCCGCCAGUAUUCUGGCGGGCAUGCCUGUUCGAGCGUCAUUACAACCCUCAGGCCCCCGGGCCUGGCGUUGGGGAUCGGCGGAGCCCCCCGUGGGCACACGCCGUCCCCCAAAUACAGUGGCGGUCCCGCCGCAGCUUCCACCGCGUAGUAGCUAACACCUCGCGACUGGAGAGCGGCGCGGCCACGCCGUAAAACACCCAACUCUUCUGAAGUUGACCUCGAAUCAGGUAGGAAUACCCGCUGAACUUAAGCAUAUCAAUAAGCGGAGGA
rnacentral:misc_RNA from 1 species